rnacentral:lncRNA from 1 species
UUUGAAGGAAGGCCCUAGUAGUAUCUACAUCACUAAUCAAUCUAAAUCCGAAAUUCAAUAAGACCAAAUUGGCCAGGUCAGUAGGUGGGAGGCUCCUCAUAGCUUUUUUUAGACACCAACAAAGUUGGUCAGGCCAGCAUACGGACCUAAUUAGAAAACCACCUUUCAUACUUUUUUAGAUACCAAUUAGUCAAAAGAAUUUGACUUUUGAUUUGAAAGUGAAUCCUGACAUUACAACUUAAUAUAAUUUUUAAAAGGGUCUUUGAACUGGUCUCGGUACAUCCUAAUUAUGACUACAUAAAAU